UGGGGAAUUUUGGACAAUGGGGGAAACCCUGAUCCAGCCAUCCCGCGUGUGCGAUGAAGGCCUUCGGGGUGUAAAGCACUUUUGGCAGGAAAGAAACGGCAUGGGUUAAUACCCCGUGAAACUGACGGGACCUGCAGAAUAAGCACCGGCUAACUACGUGCCAGUAGCCGCGGUAAUACGUAGGGUGCAAGCGUUAAUCGGAAUUACUGGGCGUAAAGCGUGCGCAGGCGGUUCGGAAAGAAAGAUGUGAAAUCCCAGAGCUCAACUUUGGAACUGCAUUUUUACCUCCCGGGCUAGAGUGUGUCAGAGGGAGGUGGAAUUCCGCGUGUAGCAGUGAAAUGCGUAGAUAUGCGGAGGAACACCGAUGGCAAAGGCAGCCUCCUGGCCUAACCCUGACGCUCAUGCACGAAAGCGUGGGGAGCAACCAGG
rnacentral:rRNA from 1 species